rnacentral:rRNA from 1 species
UACGUAGGGUCCGAGCGUUGUCCGGAAUUACUGGGCGUAAAGAGCUCGUAGGUGGUUUGUCGCGUUGUUUCGUGAAAACUCACAGCUUAACUGUGGGCGUGCAGCCGAUACGGGCAGGCUAGAGUUCGGUAGGGGAGACUGGAAUUCCUGGUGUAGCGGUGAGAUGCGCAGAUAUCAGGAGGAACACCGAUGGCGAAGGCAGGUCACUGGGCCGCAACUGACGCUGAGGAGCGAAAGCAUGGGGAGCGAACAGG